rnacentral:rRNA from 1 species
UACGGGGGGGGCAGCAGUGUUCGGUGAAUCACUGGGCGUAAAGGGCGUGUAGGCGGUCAAGUAAGUGGAAUGUGAAAGCCCCCCGGCUUACCCGGGGAUCUGCAUCCCCAAACUGCUUGGCUUGAGUACGGGAGAGGAUAGGGGAAUUCCUGGUGUAGCGGUGAAAUGCGCAGAUAUCAGGAGGAACACCGGUGGCGAAGGCGGAUCUCUGGGCCAUUACUGACGCUGAGGAGCGAAAGCGUGGGGAGCGAACAGG